UUUUUUUUGUCUUUUCUGAGGCCACACCUGCAGCAUAUGGAGGUUCCCAGGCUAGGGGUCGAAUCGGAGCUGUAGCCUCUGGCCUAUGCCAGAGCCAUAGCAAUGAGGCAUCCGAGCCAUAUCUGCGACCUACACCACAGCUCACGGCAACGCCGGAUCCUUCACCCACUGAGCAAGGCCAGGGAUGGAACCCGCAGUCUCAUGGUUGCUAGUCGGAUUCGUUAACCACUGAGCCAUGACGGGAACUCCCUAGUUUUCUUUUAAAACCCUUAAAAAGUGGCAGAAGUUCCAUCUAUGACAAAUCCUCUCCCCAAGAAACACGUAGAAAGCUGACAGAAUGGUCAGAAACAAGCAUUUCAGAGCUCCAAAAAUUGGCCAAAGGCAAACGACAAAUAGAGAAGCAGUGAUACAUGAAGAGCUCCCAGAACGUCAGGAAAGAACUUAGGGAGACCAUGGCCUGCCUGCCUGGGCUGCUCCCAUCCCCACUGCUUGGAUCAGGAGGCAAGAAUAGCAGCUGAACAAGUAUGGGGCUAGACUGAAAACCAGCAGGCCACUGUCCGAGAGGGUUGACUUGAUUUGGAGCAGAGCUGAAAACCCAUUCCCAGCAGGGUUCUCAGUAAAAGUAGUGAACUCAGUACGAAAUAACAGGAAAAGCCACAGCCCUGCUCGCCUUAGGUUCUGAGGCAGAUGGAAAGCCGGGUGGGAGUUUAACAAGGAGAGGGUCCUGGAAAUGAGAUCGCCUUAGCAGUAUAAGAAAAGCUGCCCACACGUCUCUGCCUGACUGGGAAAAGUACAAGUAUGGGCAGGGAGACCGAAAGAUCCCAGUGGAGAGUAAAAGGUGAGGCGGACUUUAAAACCGCCUGAGCUCUUCGAAUGUGCUCCCGACACCCACACGCCUUCACUGGCACAGAGGGGCAGCCAAACAGCUUGAAGGGCCUGAGCACAACCUCUGUCCAAGCACUGCCUCAGUCUUACGUUACCCACACAGAGCAGUGACACCUAUAUAUGUAGGAUAAAAAUUUAAAUUAGGGGAAAAAGGAGCAGACAGAGAAGCAACCACACAAACUCUUUAACAUUUAUAGGACAUUCUACUCAAAAACAAUAUAAUGUACAUUUUUCUUCAAGUAUAUAUGAAUGUUCCUCAGAAGAGACCAUGUCCUACUCCACAGAAGAAGUAUCAAGAAAUUUUAAAGUACCUAAUGAGGAGUUCCCCUUGUGGCUCUGUGGUAAUGAACCCAACUGGUAUCCAUGAGGAUGUAGGUUUGAUCCUCAUGGAUACUAAUCGGGUUCAUUACUCUGAGCCACAAUGGGAACUCCUGUUGCUACUCAUUUUAUUGUGUGUCCACAUGAGUGCAGACUCAUGAUGGCAGAGUUUAUGUCUCUUCUGAACAUCAUUGUACAUCCACAGUGUUGACCAUACUAUGUGCUCAAUAAAAGCUUGCCUAAAAAAAAAAGAGAGAAGAGGGAAGGAAGGGUAGGAGAGAUACAGAAAGUUGCAUUCUCACAGUUCAGCAUGGGUAAUUUCAUGUCCCAGACUUAGGUCAUCAUAACCAUUUGAGAUGCUACCGUGGAAUUCUGUCCAGAUUUCUGGUUUGGGUACAUAGGAAUUCACCUGAAAUUCUAGACUUUCAUCUACAGUACCUAGGUAUUCCAGCGUUGCUUUCUGCUCAAUUAUCAAGAUUCUCUAGCUUGCUCUUUACUUCUGGCAGAAGGAAAGGUCCCAGAUUGCAAAAUCCAACCACUUGUUUCUACCCCACUUAUCAAAUGAUGGCUAUUGCUGGCCUAGAUUUGAAAGAUGGAUCCCACUGAUCUGAAAUAUUCAGAAUAGGUAAAUCCAAGGAGAUGGAAAGCAUAUACUACUGGUUGCCUAAGUCUGAUACUUGGUUGCAGGGGCUGGGAGGUAGGAGAAACAGGAAGGGACUGCUUAACAGAUACAAGGAUUCCUCCGGGGUGAAGAAAAAGUUAUGGAAUUAGCUUGUUCUGAUGGUCGCACAGCAAGGUGAAUAGACUAAGUGCCCUUGAACUGUGCCCACUUUAAAAUGGUUAAGUUGGUGAUUUAAAAACCCUUAUUAUUUAUAAAUUUUGCCACAAUAAACUGAUGCCAUGCGCUUUCCUUUUACUUAUUCAAAAAAAUAAGAGACCAGUAUAAUUGAAGACAACAUAAUCCUUAACAUCAUUUGUUAGAUACAAAAAUCUGGUCCUAAAUGGAUAAUAAACAACACAAUGCUUGGGGGAAACUUCUAUUUUCCCAUUUCCAGUUGAUUUCAUGAGGCGGGAGGUUACUACUCUUCCCUUAAUUCUACUAUAGCUAAAAUUCGACUUGUGCUUCCUCUGUGCCUUAAUUUUUAUUUAAUGCUUUUUAAAUUAAAUACUGUUAUUUAAGUAAUGAUACAUUUUGAAAUGUAUCUUGCAACAACUAAUCAACGUAAUUAUCCAAAAGGUUGUCCAUAGGAUAAGAGUUUGAAGCAAAGUUACUAUUAAAAUGCAAAACCUAGCAUAAAUUCCUGCUAUAACAUAAUUCUUUAUUUUAUAUGCAUCCAAUCCAAAAGCCGCUCUGCAAUAGUGUUUAGCCUUUGUACCUCUCCAAAGCGUUAGCAUUUGUAUGCAUCUAGCUGGCGUGCUUUCCUCACUUCUCCACUGCACACAUCCUUUCUG
rnacentral:lncRNA from 1 species